CGGACGGGUGGAGUAACGCGUGGGGAACCGUGCCCUGUACAGGGGGAGUAACACUUAGAAAUAGGUGCUAAUACCGCAUAAGCGCACAGUAUCGCAUGAUACAGUGUGAAAAACUACCGGUGGUACAGGAUGGACCCGCGUCUGAUUAGCUGGUUGGCGGGGUAGAGGCCCACCAAGGCGACGAUCAGUAGCCGGCCUGAGAGGGUGGACGGCCACAUUGGGACUGAGACACGGCCCAAACUCCUACGGGAGGCAGCAG
rnacentral:rRNA from 1 species